rnacentral:rRNA from 1 species
GAUGAACGCUGGCGGCGUGCCUAAUACAUGCAAGUCGAGCGAACGGACGAGAAGCUUGCUUCUCUGAUGUUAGCGGCGGACGGGUGAGUAACACGUGGAUAACCUACCUAUAAGACUGGGAUAACUUCGGGAAACCGGAGCUAAUACCGGAUAAUAUUUUGAACCGCAUGGUUCAAAAGUGAAAGACGGUCUUGCUGUCACUUAUAGAUGGAUCCGCGCUGCAUUAGCUAGUUGGUAAGGUAACGGCUUACCAAGGCAACGAUGCAUAGCCGACCUGGGGGGGGGAUCGGCCACACUGGAACGGAGCCCGGGGCCAGACCCCUAGGGGAGGCAGGAGGAGGGAAUCUUCCGCAAGGGGGGAAAGCCUGACGGAGCAACGCCGGGGGGGUGAAGAAGGUCUUCGGAUCGUAAAACUCUGUUAUUAGGGAAGAACAUAUGUGUAAGUAACUGUGCACAUCUUGACGGUACCUAAUCAGAAAGCCCCGGCUAACUACGU